CUCUCUCGUGCUCUUCUCUGAUUAUUAGGGUUCCACUACUCUGAUUUCAGAGAACUUAUGAAGUCUCAGUUCAUUAAUCUCUUCGAGGUUAAGGUCGAAUGAUUUACUGAUUUCAGAGAUCUCAAAUCCAAAAUCCAGCCCUAAUCUCAAAUCCGAGAACUGACCUAGCAGCGCAGUUCUUCACCAUGAUUCGAUCUAUUAAUGGAAGUAAACUCGUUCCACCAUGAUUUCAUCUUAGUCGUUGCAUUAUAUUCUUCGAUCUAUAACCAUCUUCUUCUUCUUCAAUAUUUUACUGUAAAUUCUCAUUGCUUUUGUUGUUUUUGCUGUGCAGGUGGAGAUUAAUAGGUUAAGUGAAGAGCUAAUUCGGUUGAAGGAUCAGAUUUUGCUUGAAGAAUAAAGAUGGAACUUGGGUAUUAUUAAGAUUUGAUAAUAUGGGUUUUGAAUGAAUAAUAGAGCUUGUUCUUGGACCCGAGAUGGAAAUGUCUGUGGUGGUUACGGUGAAUCUGAGUUUUUUGAUUCAGAGAAGAUGGAGGUUCAAAUUGAAAUCUGUUUGUAGCUUUUGUGGGGUAUUAAGAUGCAGACUGUAUUGGUUUCUUUCGAGAAUUCAGUGAGUACAUGCUAGAAAGGGCAACAUGACAACUGGUUUUAGCGGGCAGAUAUUAGCUGAGAAGCUUUCUUAGCUCAACAAUUCACAACAAAGCAUUGAGUGUAUCCCUUGAGACUCUUCUCACAUCCAAAUUAACUGCUGUAAUAAUUUCAACAGUUUGAUGUCUUACAAAUGACUAGUUUGUUUGUGAUCCUAAAUGUUAGGAACAUUGAUUCUGAAUAGAAAUAUUUUUAACUAAGGAGAUGGUUUUAAAGAAUGUGUUUUUUUAGUCGGUAGAUUGGUUGUCUUUCUUUUUUUUCUUUUUUUUGGGAAAACUCCCAGGGGAGGAUUUUACUUAAAAAAUGAGAUAGAAAAACAGAAAUAGGAGGAUUAGGGUUUGAUCAAAACCGUAGUAAAAGAAAAUAGGUUGGUCUAGUUGGAUCUAAUUACUGAGCCUGUGUUUGAUCUCUCUUCUUCUUCUUCUUCUUCUUCUUCUUCUUUUUUCGUUUAGCUAUUUUUGGAGUAUAUAUUGGAGUUUUCUAGGGUAUGAAUCUGAAACUCUUCGCGUCUGCAUUUUAGCCUUUAUCCUUCAAGUUUCUAUAUGCGUUGCCGAUUAACU